UGUAUUUAUUCUUGUUUAUCUCAGGUUAAAGAGUUUAAUUUGAAAAAUAAUUUAUUAUUUAAGUAAUUUUUAGUAAAAUAAUAAAAUAACUAUAGUUCAUUAGUACAGUGAUGGAAAUGUAAAUUAAUGCAAGUAAAGAAUGUUUAUAUUACUAUACCUUGUGUAUUAGGGAAACUCUAUAUAAAUUAAUGAUUUUAAAUGUCUCGAAAUAAAAACAGCUAAAUUUAUACUAUUGUGCUUGUCGAAUAAAGCUUUCAAAUAUAAAUUUAAAGGUGAAAUGUUAUUAGAGUUUUAUUAUAUCUAGUUUUUUUAGAAUAAAAUUUAAUUUUGAUUUUAAAUAUAAUAGAUUUAAAUUUUAACUGUAGGAGGGAGUAGCUUCUUACAGAUCUUUUUUAAUAGUUACAUAAAAAUAAAUUUUUUGAGACUAGGCUUAAAAGUAGCCAUGUUAAAAAAGUGUUAUUACUUAUUAAUAAUAAAAUUUUAUUUAAGAUAACUUUAAACAAGUACAAAACUUUUUUGUAAAAUAAAAUUAUAAAAGUGAUAAUGAAUUUAUUAGUAUAAUUAAUGUAAGCUAACUAAAAUAUAAUAACUAAGACGUUAAAAUAUUUAGUGUAAAAUAUAAAGGAACUCGGCAAAUAAUUUUUCUUGCCUGUUUAUCAAAAACAUGUCUAUUUGAAGAUAUAAAAAGUCUAAUCUGCCCACUGAAAUUAAUAUUAAAGGGCCGCAGUAUAUUGACUGUGCAAAGGUAGCAUAAUCGUUUGGUUUUUAA
rnacentral:rRNA from 1 species